GAUGAACGCUGGCGGCGUGCCUAAUACAUGCAAGUCGAGCGAACAGACGAGGAGCUUGCUCCUCUGACGUUAGCGGCGGACGGGUGAGUAACACGUGGAUAACCUACCUAUAAGACUGGGAUAACUUCGGGAAACCGGAGCUAAUACCGGAUAAUAUAUUGAACCGCAUGGUUCAAUAGUGAAAGACGGUUUUGCUGUCACUUAUAGAUGGAUCCGCGCCGCAUUAGCUAGUUGGUAAGGUAACGGCUUACCAAGGCGACGAUGCGUAUCCGACCUGAGAGGGUGAUCGGCCACCCUGGAACUGGAACACGGUCCAGACUCCUACGGGAGGCAGCAGUAGGGAAUCUUCCGCAAUGGGCGAAAGCCUGACGGAGCAACGCCGAGUGAGUGAUGAAGGUCUUCGGAUCGUAAAACUCUGUUAUUAGGGAAGAACAAAUGUGUAAGUAACUAUGCACGUCUUGACGGUACCUAAUCAGAAAGCCACGGCUAACUACGUG
rnacentral:rRNA from 1 species